rnacentral:rRNA from 1 species
CAUGCAAGUCGAGGGGCAGCAGGAGUAGCAAUACUUGCUGGCGACCGGCGCACGGGUGCGUAACACGUAUACAAUCUGCCUUUAACAGGGGGAUAGCCCGGAGAAAUCCGGAUUAAUACCCCAUAACAAUGGAAGAAGCAUUUCUUCUAUUUAAAAGUUCCGACGGUUAAAGAUGAGUAUGCGUCUGAUUAGCUAGUUGGUGAGGUAACGGCUCACCAAGGCGACGAUCAGUAGGGGAUCUGAGAGGAUUAACCCCCACACGGAUACUGAGACACGGAUCCGACUCCUACGGGAGGCAGCAGUAAGGAAUAUUGGACAAUGCCCGCAAGGGUGAUCCAGCCAUGCCGCGUGCAGGAAGACGGCCCUAUGGGUUGUAAACUGCUUUUACACCGGAGAAAACCCCCCUACGUGUAGGGGGCUGAUAGUAUGGUGAGAAUAAGCAUCGGCUAACUUCGUGCCAGCAGCCGCGGUAAGACGAAGGAUGCAAGCGUUAUCCGGAUUCAUUGGGUUUAAAGGGAGCGUAGGUGGUCUACUAAGUCAGUGGUGAAAUCUCUCGGCUUAACCGAGAAAUUGCCAUUGAUACUGGUAGACUUGAGUAUAGUUGCCGUUGGCGGAAUAUGACAUGUAGUGGUGAAAUACAUAGAGAUGUCAUAGAACACCG